GUUGACCUUACAGCAAUUCUCACAUUUCCUUACAUUCAAAGAAAACCUUCGUCAACUGU
rnacentral:other from 1 species